CUUCCGUAGGGGUGAACCUGCGGAAGGAUCAUUA
rnacentral:rRNA from 3 species